GAUGGCAGGGUCACUGUAGACAAGUAUGGAAGGGAUGAGAAAGCCAGCAGGAGGAAAGCCAAAAGAACUUACGAGUCUGGCUCUGAAAGCGCAGACUCAGAUGGGAGUGAAAGUAAGGCGGAGCAGAGGACUAAACGGCAGCCCAAGCCGACUUACAAAAAGAAGCAGAACGAUCUGCAGAAGAGGAAGGGCGAGAUCGAGGAAGACUUGAAGCCCAAUGGUGUUCUCAGCAGGAGCGCCAAAGAGAAAAGUAAAUUGAAGUUGCAGAACAGCAGUAGUGCUGGCGUCCCUCGCUCAGUGUUGAAAGACUGGCGGAAGGUCAAGAAGCUGAAGCAAACCGGAGAGUCGUUUCUGCAGGAUGACUCUUGCUGUGAGAUAGGGCCCAACUUACAAAAGUGCCGAGAAUGUAGACUUAUCCGUAGUAAAAAGGGAGAAGAAUCAACUCACUCACCAGUGUUUUGUAGAUUUUACUACUUUAGGAGAUUGUCCUUCAGUAAGAAUGGAGUAGUCAGGAUUUGAUCAAGUGUAAAUGUGCUGUGUACAGUUUAAUAAAAUAACUGAUAUUUUUCACUACAUGAGACAGUUACUGUGAGACUAGGACACAAACACCAGCUGUUGCCUGCGUUUGGAAAAUUGCUGGAUUGCACAGCAGUCAUGUCAUAAUCAGAAAAUUACUGCCAAAUAACUGUAAGAUGUGUAAGAUACAAAGUAUAUAAGUAGAUACUAAACUCAGACACUUCAAUAUUUUGUUGAAGCUAUUGACUGUACAAUUAAACAUUUUCAAAAGGUGUAAUUUAUUUAAAAUUGUCUCAUUUUGGUAAAAUUUAUGUGAAGUUUUAAAGCUAAAUAUUAAACUUAAUAUGCUAUGUAAAUAUAUACAUAUAUCCAUUUCAGGAUGUAUUUUUUUAAAGCGUUGGCUGGCUUUUGUUAAAGUGUAAGUGUUACAUAUGGCUUUGUACAUUACAGUUGAAAGGGGUUUACAUUUUCCAUUAAAGACUUUAUC
rnacentral:lncRNA from 1 species